rnacentral:rRNA from 1 species
GUAGGUUGGCAACGCGUUGUCCGGAAUUAUUGGGCGUAAAGCGCGCGCAGGCGGGUCCUUUAAGUCCUGAUGUGAAAGCCCACGGCUCAACCGUGGAGGGUCAUUGGAAACUGGGGGACUUGAGUACAGAAGAGGAAAGCGGAAUUCCAAGUGUAGCGGUGAAAUGCGUAGAGAUUUGGAGGAACACCAGUGGCGAAGGCGGCUUUCUGGUCUGUAACUGACGCUGAGGCGCGAAAGCGUGGGGAGCAAACAGGAUUAGAUACCCCUGGUAGUCCACGCCGUAAACGAUGAGUGCUAAAGUGUUAGGGGGUUUCCCGCCCCCUUAGUGCUGCAGCUAAACGCAUUAAGCACUCCGCCCUGGGGGAGUACGGCCGCAAGGCUG